rnacentral:rRNA from 1 species
AACGAACGCUGGCGGCAUGUCUAACACAUGCAAGUCGAACGAGACCUUCGGGUCUAGUGGCGCACGGGUGCGUAACGCGUGGGAACCUGCCCUUAGGUUCGGAAUAACUCCCCGAAAGGGGUGCUAAUACCGGAUAAUGUCUUCGGACCAAAGAUUUAUCGCCUUUGGAUGGGCCCGCGUUGGAUUAGCUAGUUGGUAGGGUAAAAGCCUACCAAGGCGACGAUCCAUAGCUGGUCUGAGAGGAUGAUCAGCCACACUGGGACUGAGACACGGCCCAGACUCCUACGGGAGGCAGCAGUGGGGAAUAUUGGACAAUGGGCGAAAGCCUGAUCCAGCAAUGCCGCGUGAGUGAUGAAGGCCCUAGGGUUGUAAAGCUCUUUUACCCGGGAUGAUAAUGACAGUACCGGGAGAAUAAGCUCCGGCUAACUCCGUG